rnacentral:rRNA from 1 species
UGGGGAAUCUUGCGCAAUGCGCGAAAGCGUGACGCAGCAACGCCGCGUGGGGGAAGAAGGCCUUCGGGUUGUAAACCCCUUUCAGUUGGGACGAAGCUUCGCCGGUGAAUAGCCGGCUGGAGUGACGGUACCUUCACAAGAAGCCCCGGCUAACUACGUGCCAGCAGCCGCGGUAAUACGUAGGGGGCUAGCGUUGUCCGGAAUCAUUGGGCGUAAAGCGCGUGUAGGCGGUCCGGUAAGUCCGCUGUGAAAGUCGGGGGCUCAACCCUCGAAAGCCGGUGGAUACUGUUGGGCUUGAGUACGGAAGAGGCGAGUGGAAUUCCUGGUGUAGCGGUGAAAUGCGCAGAUAUCAGGAGGAACACCAAUUGCGAAGGCAGCUCGCUGGGACGUUACUGACGCUGAGACGCGAAAGCGUGGGGAGCAAACAGG